AAAGGCAAAGUUUAAUUUGCAUACAGGAGUAACCCACACCUCACCUGGCAAGUGUUAGGCCACAGCACAAACCCCUGUCGGAGUCAGAGAUGUCAGCAGAUGUGCAAAGUAACUGGACACAAACAAUAUAGUUCUCCAAGUAAUACAUGGGUUUGUCCAUCACACACACAAAUAACAAACACACUUAAAUGCUCUGCAAAAGAGAGAUGAGGAUGGUAAUCAAAUUAAUACCUACAAGAUGGUUGUUUUCUACUUUAGUUCCUCCCUGCCUUAAUUUUAAGUCACUAACAGAUACCAAGAAAAGACACUUUGAUUAGAUUUCAUUGAUUCAAGUCUUAUUACCAGGAUUCACAUAGUGGUGUCAGUAAUCAAGUCAUUAUUUAAAGCUACAAU
rnacentral:lncRNA from 1 species